UACGUAGGCAGCGAGCGUUGUUCGGAAUUACUGGGCGUAAAGAGGGUGUAGGCGGCGCUCUAAGUUCGGUGUGAAAUCUCUCGGCUUAACUGGGAGGGUGCGCCGGAAACUGGAGUGCUCGAACGUGGGAGAGGAAAGCGGAAUUCCUGGUGUAGCGGUGAAAUGCGUAGAUAUCAGGAGGAACACCUGCGGUGUAGACGGCUUUCUGGACCAUUGUUGACGCUGAGACACGAAAGCGUGGGGAGCAAACAGG
rnacentral:rRNA from 1 species